rnacentral:rRNA from 1 species
UGCUGCAGUAAUGGCGAAUGAACGAGCAGGACCCACGGCUCUUCCUGAAAAUGGGCUUCCUGACUCGAGGACCCCGACUUUAGGUCACCUGUGUGGUGCCUGGGUUGUGGUGCAUCUCGAUCGGCUUUCGUUGGAAUCCAGCAAACCCUGUGGGCUAUGGAGCAGUUGGCUGUGUCUCGGUGCUUCCCAGUACCAAGAAGAGUCCUGGAAUGGACCCACGAAACAGGGAGACUGUCCCGUAUGGCUGAACCGUGUGCUGGGAUCACUGGGAUGUGGCUGGCUGUAUCCCCGAGUAGAGUGGCUUGGGACUGCAGUUUGAAGAGUGACGUGUAUCCGUCACAAGGUGGCAUACAGACCUGGGACCGAUAGUGCACAAGUAGAGUGAUCGAAGGAUGCAAAGAACUCCGCGAAGAGGGUUAAAAGUCCCUGAAGCCGCAACAGGAUCGGUGGUGUGCAGUGCUGUAUCGUUCUAGAUCUGACCAAGCGUCUCUGGGUCAGCCCAGGGCUGGCCACCGAGCCCCUGUCUCCGGACAGGGAUGACUAUCGUGGCAGCCCCGUGGUGGCAGCUCCGCCUGCCAGGACCUGGAGUUUGCGAGUGAGACAUUCAACCAAGUGUGGGAAUCGUGACGGACCGACCCCGGUCAACGGUGGUCUUGUUGUGUGGCUGAACGGUCUCCAAGCAGAGUGUGCCAGAGGCCUCCCACACCACUGCCCUGUUGCAUCGGGUGUUCGAUGCCGGUCGAUGGUUGUUGCUGCUUGUCCUCGAUCCCGGUGUGUCUUCGGACAUGUCGGUCGCUGGUGGUUGGGCUGGAUUCGGGGUGUGCUUGGCUGCACCGGGGGCUGCACCGUUCUGACGGUGGUCCCCUUGCUGGCUGCACCGUCCCCCAGCCUGACCCCAGUGAGAAAUUGGCAGCAGAGCUUGGCACCCCUCCUUGCAGUGCUGCUCUCUGCCCGUCUCGAAACACGGACCAAGGAGUCUAAGGAGCUUGCCAGUCGGAUGGCUGAUCCAAAACCUCUUCUGAGGCGUGGUGAAGGCAACUAUCCUUCCAGAUGGGGCUAGUCUCUGCAUGGAACGACCGGACCCGAAGUCCAGUGGACAGGGUUUCGAGUGCUUGCAAGGUCCUUGGGACCCGAAAGGUGGUGAACUAUACCGUUCUACGGUGAAGCCAUGGGAAACUGUGGUGGAAGCCGGUCGCUGUUCUGACGUGCAAAUUGUGUAGCCUGAGU